GGUCAUUGCUCAGUGGUCAGGUUUUAGCUUUGCAUGCAGAAGGUCCUUGGUUCAAGUCCUGGCAUAUCCA